rnacentral:lncRNA from 1 species
GCUUCUUCAGGCAAAGAGAAAAAAUGUUGAAAUGAGUAUCAGUGCUUCUGUCAAAACCAUUCAGUAGAAAAUUGAGCAUGUUCUGAAAAUCCAGCGUGAGCAAAGGGAGGAGCUUUAUGAAGAACAAUGUCAGCAGUUUGCGACUAUGAUUCAGAUGUGGAACCUAGAUGUGAAGAAAGUCAAGGAACAGGAGGAAAACUAUCUAGUGUAUUUCAACAACAACGAAAGGCUUUCCAACAAUCUCAACUUGUUCAGAACCAGAAAAUGAAAGUCUUUAGAAAGUUAUGUGAGCAAUUAUUGGAGAUCUGUGGACCUAGAGGAGAAUCAUGGAAAAGUUCCUGCUGGUGAACAAAGUGAAUUUAGGAAACAGAUGGCCAUCUUGCAAACAAAACUUAUGAUGGAAUCUCGGCAGGAGGAGAAGGCCAGUGCUCAAAAAUCUCUGCUAUCCCUGUUAUUCUGGUGAUGCAAUACAGUCAUAAAAUUAUCUGCAUGAGCCCAACAUGUCAUAGAAGUUUUGGUUGGAAGGGCUGGGGAUAUAGCUCAGUUGGUAGAUUGCUUGCUUCACAUGCACAAGGCCCUGGGUUCAAUGCCCAGCACCACAGAGGGGGGGAAAAAAGGCUUAAAGUCUAUAAGGAAGUUCUGGUUGGAAUGAUUACAUCCUCUGUGUUCCCCGGUUUGUUAAGGGCUGGAUCCCCUCUGUGUUAAGACCUAAGUGAAACCUGAAGAGCUGUGUGGGUGCUGUUGAAAAGCCAGUUAGGAAGCUUCCAGGCCUUUGGUAGUAGUGCUGGCUUUUGCUCCCCGACACUGCCGAUUAACUCUGAGCAAUAAAGAUGAUUUCAUGUUUAAAAAAAAAUCUAGUUCAUGUGAAAAUAUGGAAAUGAUUUAGAUAUCAGAAGGCAGCAGUAACUGUAAUAAGACCAGAAAGGCAUGGUCUGUCCAAACAGGUC